rnacentral:lncRNA from 1 species
ACACGCGUGAAGGAUGGCCUGGCGCGCAUGCAGCGGUUGUGGCAGACGAGGAGGCUAGCGGCGCUUUAGGGUUUCUUUUGCUCAUUUCUGCUGAAAAUGUUUAGGCUGUGGGCCUAUUAAUUUGGGCUUAGGGUUUCUGAUUUUUGGGCUUAUUGGGUUUGGGCUUGUAGUUUUUGUGUUUAAUGUAACUGGACUGAUUAUUUUUGUUAAUUUGGGCUGUUUCGGGUUCCGGGCA